CCUACGGGAGGCAGCAGUGGGGAAUUUUGGACAAUGGGCGAAAGCCUGAUCCAGCAAUACCGCGUGCAGGAAGAAGGCCUUCGGGUUGUAAACUGCUUUUGUACGGAACGAAACGGUCCUUUUUAAUACAAGGGGCUAAUGACGGUACUGUAAGAAUAAGCACCGGCUAACUACGUGCCAGCAGCCGCGGUAAUACGUAGGGUGCGAGCGUUAAUCGGAAUUACUGGGCGUAAAGCGUGCGCAGGCGGUUAUAUAAGACAGUUGUGAAAUCCCCGGGCUCAACCUGGGAAUUGCAUCUGUGACUGUAUAGCUAGAGUACGGUAGAGGGGGAUGGAAUUCCGCGUGUAGCAGUGAAAUGCGUAGAUAUGCAGAGGAACACCGAUGGCGAAGGCAAUCCCCUGGACCUGUACUGACGCUCAUGCACGAAAGCGUGGGGAGCAAACAGGAUUAGAUACCCUGGUAGUCCACGCCCUAAACCGAUGUCAACUGGUUGUUGGGUGCAUUAGUACUCAGUAACGAAGCUAACGCGUGAAGUUGACCGCCUGGGGNGGACGGCGCGAAGGUAGUAACGUUACAAUAGAGUUAGUAGGCGNGNGAGNGCGACGGACGACGACGAGGGAGGAGG
rnacentral:rRNA from 1 species